rnacentral:rRNA from 1 species
UACGUAGGGUGCGAGCGUUGUCCGGAAUUACUGGGCGUAAAGAGCUCGUAGGUGGUUUGUCGCGUUGUUCGUGAAAACUCACAGCUCAACUGUGGGCGUGCGGGCGAUACGGGCAGACUAGAGUACUGCAGGGGAGACUGGAAUUCCUGGUGUAGCGGUGGAAUGCGCAGAUAUCAGGAGGAACACCGGUGGCGAAGGCGGCUAUCUGGACAGAGUCUGACGCUGAGGCGCGAAAGCUAGGGGAGCAAACAGG